UACGUAGGGGGCAAGCGUUGUCCGGAAUCAUUGGGCGUAAAGAGCGUGUAGGCGGCUUGGCAAGUCUCGCGUGAAAUCCUGCGGCUCCAACCGCAGGCGGUCGCGGGAAACUGCCUCGCUAGAGUCCGGAAGAGGAGAGUGGAAUUCCUGGUGUAGCGGUGGAAUGCGCAGAUAUCAGGAAGAACACCCGUGGCGAAGGCGGCUCUCUGGGACGGUACUGACGCUGAGACGCGAAAGCGUGGGGAGCGAACAGG
rnacentral:rRNA from 1 species